rnacentral:rRNA from 1 species
UACGGAGGGUGCAAGCGUUAUCCGGAUUCACUGGGUUUAAAGGGUGCGUAGGUGGGCAGGUAAGUCAGUGGUGAAAUCUUUGGGCUUAACCCGAAAACUGCCAUUGAUACUAUUUGUCUUGAAUAUUGUGGAGGUCAGCGGAAUAUGUCAUGUAGCGGUGAAAUGCUUAAAUAUGACAUAGAACACCAAUUGCGAAGGCAGCUGGCUACACAUAUAUUGACACUGAUGCACGAAAGCGUGGGGAUCAAACAGG